UACGUAGGGUGCGAGCGUUAAUCGGAAUUACUGGGCGUAAAGCGUGCGUAGGCGGUUCGUUAAGUUCGUCGUGAAAGCCCCGGGCUCAACCUGGGAAUGGCGAUGGAAACUGGCGGGCUGGAGUAUGGCAGAGGGGGGUGGAAUUCCGCGUGUAGCAGUGAAAUGCGUAGAGAUGCGGAGGAGCACCGAUGGCGAAGGCAGCCCCCUGGGCUAACACUGACGCUCAGGCACGAAAGCGUGGGGAGCAAACAGG
rnacentral:rRNA from 1 species